rnacentral:rRNA from 1 species
CCUACGGGGGGCUGCAGUGGGGAAUAUUGGACAAUGGGGAGAACCCUGAUCCAGCCAUGCCGCGUGUGUGAAGAAGGCCCUCGGGUUGUAAAGCACUUUCAGUGAGGAAGAACGCCUGGUGGUUAAUACCCAUCAGGAAAGACAUCACUCACAGAAGAAGCACCGGCUAACUCCGUGCCAGCAGCCGCGGUAAUACGGAGGGUGCGAGCGUUAAUCGGAAUUACUGGGCGUAAAGCGCGCGUAGGUGGCUUGAUAAGCCGGUUGUGAAAGCCCCGGGCUCAACCUGGGAACGGCAUCCGGAACUGUCAAGCUAGAGUGCAGGAGAGGAAGGUAGAAUUCCCGGUGUAGCGGUGAAAUGCGUAGAGAUCGGGAGGAAUACCAGUGGCGAAGGCGGCCUUCUGGACUGACACUGACACUGAGGUGCGAAAGCGUGGGUAGCAAACAGGAUUAGAUACCCCUGUAGUC